GACGAAGGAUGCAAGCGUUAUCCGGAUUCAUUGGGUUUAAAGGGAGCGUAGGUGGCCUGAUAAGUCAGUGGUGAAAUCUCUCGGCUUAACCGAGAAAUUGCCAUUGAUACUGUUAGGCUUGAGUAUAGUUGCCGUUGGCGGAAUAUGACAUGUAGUGGUGAAAUACAUAGAGAUGUCAUAGAACACCGAUUGCGAAGGCAGCUAACGAAACUAUAACUGACACUGAGGCCCGAAAGUGCGGGGAUCAAACAGG
rnacentral:rRNA from 1 species